AGUUAAAAAUUUCAUCGAUUUGUGCUGCUAAAAACUAACAUGACUGACAAAAUAACCAGAUAAUGACAUGUGGCGUGUUAUGUAUAUUUCAUGCUAACGUACAUGAAUCAAUUUUUAACAAUAAAAAUGGAUGAAAUUUUUAAUA
rfam:Gossypium raimondii Chr11_contig_89, whole genome shotgun sequence.